rnacentral:tRNA from 1 species
UCGUCUAGUGGCCCAGGACGCCGCCCUUUCAAGGCGGUAGCACGGGUUCGAAUCCCGUG